UGAGGACAAGGUGAUGAAACUCUCUCUCUUUUCUUUGAACUAUUCACCUCUAAAAAUUUGUCUCCUUUGGUUAAAUGAUUCUGGAUUUUGGCAUAACUGUGCAGACAUCAUAGCCUACAGUUUUCUAGAGUGUCACAAAUUGUAAACAUAUGUGCACUGCCUGUAUUCAUGCAAAUGAUCAAGAAGUUGAAAAGCUAAGCGGCAUGAGUGGUGCUAUCAAUUUGUAUGGUUGCAAAGGAUAAUUGUUGUGAUGUUAACCUGGCUUAAAUUUCAGUUUACAGAAGAUUUUUAACGAGACAAAUUGCUAUCCAAGUAUGUGUACUAACUGCAAAGUGAUUUUUAAUCAACUUCACUACUAUAAUAGGAGUCACAACAUAUCAGCUUUGGGAUAAAGUAACCAACCAAUGCUAAAAGUCGGGAAUAACAGUAUUCUCAUGUCUUAUGACAUAUCCUCAAUCUUGUUAAAUUUCUGUGAGGCCAAGUUGAAGAGUGAUUAAGUGGGGUUUAUGUGCAAUAAAGGCUACUUCUAAAUGCAUAAUUGACAUAGAAACUAAUCCUGCAUCAAAGAGAAAUCCAAGUACUGCAGUGAAAAGAGUUUAUUUGAUAGAGUAUCCUGUGGCUGUUUCUAGAAAUUUAAGUUUCUUCUGGAUCAUAAAACUAACACAAAAGCUGGUGAGGUAGAUAGAUGAAUGAGGUCUGGGGCCAGGGGAGUCAUGUUAGUUAGCAUGUAUUACAUUACUUAGUACUUAGCAAUCCACUUCUGAUUUGUGACUUCACUGUCUUGUUAGAUUCUCAGUAGAAAACAAAAUUUAAUUAUUACAGCUGCUCGCUUCCACUGGAUGGGUGUUUAAGAAAAAUAUCAGUAAGAACUAAAUGAAAAACUGCUAACAUUCCAAGAUGGCAGACGAGCUCAAUUAGGACGGUGCAAAUUAUUAACUUCAACUUUUAAGGCAACAGCUCAUUCCAGAAUUCUUUUAGCAUUUUGCUGCCUAUCUUAUGCAUGCACAUGAUUGAUGCCAAGGACUUUUGCAUGUAUAUUCAAGUUUAAAUUUAUUUAACUUAUUUAUUUAUUUUUUUAAAAAAAUUUUGUUUGUUUUUCAUGCAUAGUCAAUUCACAGAAUUGGGAAGCCUUUAAAUCAU
rnacentral:misc_RNA from 1 species